rnacentral:rRNA from 1 species
GAUGAACGCUGGCGGCGUGCCUAAUACAUGCAAGUCGAGCGAACGGACGAGAAGCUUGCUUCUCUGAUGUUAGCGGCGGACGGGUGAGUAACACGUGGAUAACCUACCUAUAAGACUGGGAUAACUUCGGGAAACCGGAGCUAAUACCGGAUAAUAUUUUGAACCGCAUGGUUCAAAAGUGAAAGACGGUCUUGCUGUCACUUAUAGAUGGAUCCGCGCUGCAUUAGCUAGUUGGUAAGGUAACGGCUUACCAAGGCAACGAUGCAUAGCCGACCUGAGAGGGUGAUCGGCCACACUGGAACUGAGACACGGUCCAGACUCCUACGGGAGGCAGCAGUAGGGAAUCUUCCGCAAUGGGCGAAAGCCUGACGGAGCAACGCCGCGUGAGUGAUGAAGGUCUUCGGAUCGUAAAACUCUGUUAUUAGGGAAGAACAUAUGUGUAAGUAACUGUGCACAUCUUGACGGUACCUAAUCAGAAAGCCACGGCUAACUACGUGCCAGCAGCCGCGGUAAUACGCAGGUGGCAAGCGUUAUCCGGAAUUAUUGGGCGUAAAGCGCGCGUAGGCGGUUUUUUAAGUCUGAUGUGAAAGCCCACGGCUCAACCGUGGAGGGUCAUUGGAAACUGGAAAACUUGAGUGCAGAAGAGGAAAGUGGAAUUCCAUGUGUAGCGGUGAAAUGCGCAGAGAUAUGGAGGAACACCAGUGGCGAAGGCGACUUUCUGGUCUGUAACUGACGCUGAUGUGCGAAAGCGUGGGGAUCAAACAGGAUUAGAUACCCUGGUAGUCCACGCCGUAAACGAUGAGUGCUAAGUGUUAGGGGGUUUCCGCCCCUUAGUGCUGCAGCUAACGCAUUAAGCACUCCGCCUGGGGAGUACGACCGCAAGGUUGAAACUCAAAGGAAUUGACGGGGACCCGCACAAGCGGUGGAGCAUGUGGUUUAAUUCGAAGCAACGCGAAGGACCUUACCAAAUCUUGACAUCCUUUGACAACUCUAGAGAUAGAGCCUUCCCCUUCGGGGGACAAAGUGACAGGUGGUGCAUGGUUGUCGUCAGCUCGUGUCGUGAGAUGUUGGGUUAAGUCCCGCAACGAGCGCAACCCUUAAGCUUAGUUGCCAUCAUUAAGUUGGGCACUCUAAGUUGACUGCCGGUGACAAACCGAAGGAAGGUGGGGAUGACGUCAAAUCAUCAUGCCCCUUAUGAUUUGGGCUACACACGUGCUACAAUGGACAAUACAAAGGGCAGCGAAACCGCGAGGUCAAGCAAAUCCCAUAAAGUUGUUCUCAGUUCGGAUUGUAGUCUGCAACUCGACUACAUGAAGCUGGAAUCGCUAGUAAUCGUAGAUCAGCAUGCUACGGUGAAUACGUUCCCGGGUCU